UUUUAUUGAUAACAAUUAACAAGUGAAAAAUUGGCACAACAAUUCAAGUGAAAAUACAUUUAUAAGGCCUUGGUUAAAUUCUGUCAACAAAAAAAAACGCAUUGGUUAAAUAAAAUUAACUUUCUUAUACAAAACCCAAUUUACAGAGUCUUCUAUCCAAAACCCUAUCUUGAGAUGGAACUAUUUCCAUCCACUGUGACGGCUGGAUCUAGUGACUGAGAACGAUUGCCAUCAAGAUUUAUCCUAAUCCAGACAUCACAAUCACAGUCAGAGCCUAACCCCCGUCGUUUUCUCUUUCAUUUCGCGCCGCACACUCUAUCGUCGUUCUCCAUCUUCCAUCUUCGCCGGUGAUACACUCAAUCUUGCACAGUAUGUUGGAUCCGAACUUGUAGCCUUGUUCUACCACCCCUUCCAAGCUAGGGUAUGAAAAAAGGGCGAGCUUUCUUGUAUCCGCAUAAAGGUUGUGUUUCUAUAUAUUUGCAUAUAAUAAUCCUGCAUUUCUUCUAUACAUUUUCAUGUGACUUUUAUUGUUGGUUUUUAGGGAUGAUACUAUAUCAGUUUGUAAGAAAAAAAUCUUGCUAUUUGUUUUUGUGGGGUCUUAGAGUCCAUAGUGCAGUGAAGAAGAGAGAGUAGGUGUUCCACAUCUUACAGCAGAGUGAAGGAUGUGCUUGGUGUUAGUAUAUAUGCAAGUUCUAAGUAAAAGAGGUUUCAUGUGAUAAAUGGUGCCUUUUCAUUAUGUUAAUUUGCUGAAAAGAAGAAUGGAGUAUAUGCAUUCUCAUUGAUGAUUGAAUUACAUACAAAUGUGAAGAAUCAAUUACUCAGACAGAUGCACUAGAGCAGGGCAUAAUAUAAAAAGGGGUCAUAUGCUCAUAUUCUAGUGGUUGAACUUGUUAAGUAAAGGGGUCAUAUGCUCAUAUAUGCUUAUAUUCUAGUGGAUGAACCAUGUCCCAUAAGUGUAGCUCAAAUGGUAGCUACCGGGGAUAUUAUGGUCAGUGUUCUAACCCCGGAUUUCACGUUUCUCCACAUUUAAAUAGUAUAUCCACACUUAUAAGGUGACAGAAGAGUGUUCACAAUUUUUGGUGCUUAUGAAGUUGGUUAAAAGAAAGGUCUAUGGAGCCAAAUUUCUAAGAUAAGAAGGAUAUUGUUAUUUGGGUAUGCAAUAAUAUUAGAACUUAGAAGCAAUGGAAUUGCAUUUGAAUUGUUGGAUUCUACCGUGGCAAAUCAUUUCAAGAAGAUGCCUUUAAAAUCCUGUGACUUGAUAAUAUCUAUGUCAACUUUGUAUUUGGUGUUUUCGAAUUUAUAGCUUAACUUAAGUCUACAUUUUUUUAUUGUUUGUGUGACUUUAGAAUAGGAAGGUGUAUUGAAGUCUUUGUAACAGGAUUGGUUGUACUAUAAUUUAUUUAUGAAUCAAAGGUUGUUUGUUAAAUUAA